rnacentral:rRNA from 1 species
UACCAGCACCCCGAGUGGUCGGGACGAUUAUUGGGCCUAAAGCAUCCGUAGCCGGUUCUACAAGUCUUCCGUUAGAUCCACCUGCUUAACAGAUGGGCUGCGGAGGAUACUAUAGAGCUAGGAGGCGGGAGAGGCAAGCGGUACUUAGUGGGUAGGGGUAAAAUCCGUUGAUCCAUUGAAGACCACCAGUGGCGAAGGCGGCUUGCCAGAACGCACUCGACGGUGAGGGAUGAAAGCUGGGGGAGCAAACCGG